UUCCGGUUGAUCCCGCCGGACCCCACUGCUAUCGAGAUGGGACUAAGGUAUGCUAGUCGAACGACCAGAACUAUGUCUGGAAGUGGCACACUGCUCAGUAACACGUAGCUAACCUACCCUUAGGACGUGGAUACCCCCGAGAAAUUGGGGUUAAUCCGCGAUAGAUGUAAUGUCCUGGAAUGGUAUUACGUCUAAAGGUAUUUCAUACAUGUUUGAAAUAUGCCUAAGGAUGGGGCUGCGGCCGAUCAGGCUGUUGGUGAGGUAAUGGCUCACCAAACCUUUGACCGGUACGGGCCAUGAGAGUGGUAGCCCGGAGAUGGACACUGAGACAAGGGUCCAGGCCCUAAGGGGCGCAGCAACCGCGAAACCUCCACAAUGCACUCACGUGCGAUGGGGCUAUCUCGAGUGCCACCUGAUGAAGGUGGCUUUUCCUUGGUCUUCAAAGCCUUGGGAAUAAGAGGGGGGCAAGACUGGUGUCAGCCGCCGCGGUAACACCAGCCCCUCGAGUGGUGGGGAUGAUUAUUUGGCCUAAAGCGUCCGUAGCCGGCCGAGUAAGUCCCCCGUUAAAUCCAGCGUCUCAAGCGUUGGACUGCGGGAGAUACUACUUGGCUAGAGAGUGGGAGAGGUCAGCGGUAUUCUGGGGGUAGGGGCGAAAUCCUUUGAUCCCCGGAGGACCACCAGUGGCGAAGGCUGCUGACUAGAACACGUCUGACGGUCAGGGACGAAAGCUGGGGUAGCGAACCGGAUUAGAUACCCGGGUAGUCCCAGCCGUAAACGAUGCAUGCUAGGUGUUGGGUU
rnacentral:rRNA from 1 species